rnacentral:rRNA from 1 species
UACGUAGGGCGCAAGCGUUUGUCCGGAAUUAUUGGGCGUAAAGAGCUCGUAGGCGGCCUGUUGCGUCCGCUGUGAAAUCCCGGGGCUCAACCCCCGGGCCUGCAGUGGAUACGGGCUGGCUAGAGGCAGGCAGGGGAGAACGGAAUUCCUGGUGUAGCGGUGAAAUGCGCAGAUAUCAGGAGGAACACCGAUGGCGAAGGCAGGUCUCUGGGCCACUACUGACGCUGAGAAGCGAAAGCAUGGGGGAGCGAACAGG